UUAGCUAUUCCGCAAUAUUGUACAGUCAGUGAAUUUGUCACAAAAGCCUUUGUCUCGUAGCUGAAUUGUACACAUUUGCACCUGCUGGAAACAUAUGAUGCUGUGUAACAGGUGCAUAUGAGUGGUUGGAGUUUUAAAUUGAUGCCAGUGUCUGUUGAGAUUUUUAAAAAUCUGUUUCCUCAUUUCAAACAGACCUGUUUUCACUCUAAGAUGUAAACAUGUGUGUGCUAUAUUUUUUGUCCCUCCAUCUCCUCUUCUUUUGUGUGGUUCAUUCCUCAGAUGGAGUUUUUGCCGAACAUAACGCUAGAUGUCAUUUCAGAAAUGUAGAUGAAAUAGAAUAUACUGAAGAAAUUUAUUUCAACAAGGAGGUGUUGCUAUGGUACAACGGCUCCACGGGUAUCUGGAAAGGAGACACAAGCAGUAAAAAUAUUCUUGCUAGUUAUUUUAACAACGAUCCUAAUGACCAUUUCUCAAGAAGAGCCAUAAAGGAUGUUUUGUGUUUGGUAAAUGCUAAAGCACUUUAUGAGACCCUAAAGAAUAAUACAGUUAAGCCAAAUGUCAGACUGAAGUCAGUGGAGCACUCCAGUAAUAGACACUCAGCCAUGCUUGUGUGCAGCGCUUAUGAUUUCUAUCCUAAAACCAUCAUGAUAACAUGGUUGAGGAACGGACAGAAGGUGAACUCAGAUGUGACCUCCAUAGAGGAAAUGUCCAAUGGGGACUGGAGCUACCAGAUCCACUCAUACCUGGAGUACACACCCACAGCUGGAGAGAUAAUCACCUGUAUGGUGGAGCAUUACAGCCUCCCUGAGCCUCAGCUACAUGACUGGGACCCCUCGAUGCCCAAGUCUGAAAUGAAUAAAAUUGUGAUUGGAAUAUCUGGACUACUGUUGGGGUUGGUCUUUAUAGCAGCUGGACUGAUCUACAACAGGAAGAAUUCUACUGUGCUGAUUCCGGUGAGAACAAGUGAUGACAUGGGUCCCUCUAGUGGUUGAACGGUUUGUUUGGAUUUCAAAGCUCAACGAGAUAAUUGAUGUAGUAAUUUUCCCUUAACUUCUGAAAGCCUAACUUUCUGAUGAGUAAAAUAACUCAGCUGUUAAAGAAUAUCAAAGUGAGUUAAGAAUAUUUUUGUUAUUGACAAGUCUUCAGGAUCUUUUUUUUUUAUGAGCUUGGGAAUUUUUAUUUUGAAUUUGUGUUGAUUGAUAAAACUUUACUGCACGGAUUGUGAAAUGUAAAGAUACAUAAUUGUAUUUAUUUUCGUGUAAUAGCAGAUACUUAUAUAACAUAUUUAAAAUAAAACUAUGUUUUCCAGACUUCACAGAAUAAUGGAUAACACUGCAUAAGUAUACAUGAAUAAACAUGUAUUAAAGCCUUGUUUACGUUAGAUUACAACUUGUCAUUACAGCGUGUCCUAUUCACUGAAAUCAUUGGUCAGGACAAUUGACACACUGGUCCAAUCUCAAUGUCCACACUCACGGACUUUGAAGCGCAUUCUCGCUAAAUCUGUGAGGGUUUAUGGCUGUCCCACUGUCAAAUCGUCAAGAGCGCCCGGGCUCUUUCACAGACAUUUAUGCAUUUAUGCAGACUUUGCCGGAGGGAAUUGCCCACAGUUCAUAGCGUUGUGACGGGAUUACCGGGGAAAGGCCAGAUUCGAGAGAGAAAUCCCGGAAAGCCCGCUUUAUAAGAUAAGGUCUAGAGCCUGCAAGACGUAUAAAUCCGGCAGUCGGUCUAUUAAGUGCCUUGGCCGUGAAGAAAGUAAAAAACGUAAAACAAAAAGUCCCAAACCCACAAUAGUGUGCAGCUUAUUUCAGCAUCGUCAAGGUAACAUGAUUAAGUGGUUAAGUGCUGUCCCAUUACUAUUUAUAGCAUUUUGAGCCCUUGCAGCCUCUUGCACUCAAUCAUUUACCAGGUGACGUCUGUGAGGGUUCAGGGGGGACAUUGGGAUUGGGCCAAUGACAAGUACACAAACAAUGCUUCCACCCUGACUGAACACAAGAGCAGACAUAUAUAGGUUGGGGCUAAGGAGCAGGUGAAAACAAUGAAGACUAAUGCAGUAAAACCCUGCAUCAACCACUCCAUCCUCUGCACUCAAUUUGCACGUUCUGUUUGUUCUUUGCUAGACAUAGAAAUAUGUUAUUCCCCCGGUACUGCCAGUAGGAAAACAGUCAUCCUUUUUUUCCCCCAAACUAGUUUAGUACUGAUGAUUUCAUGAAACAACGGAAUGGCGGGCGGGUGCAGGUGACCCACACAUCACUA